GAUGUAGCUGCUUGUAACCAAGCUUCUUGGAGUAGCUCCAUAACUUGAUGGAGUCUACUGUAUCUCUCGGCAUGAUUCAAUAACAAUGACUCUCUCUCUGGCGAUAUCUAAAAACAUCAA
rnacentral:lncRNA from 1 species